CAUGCCUUCUUCUAAAAUGACAAUAAUUAGAGAUGACCUCCCCUUGAAAGAAACCCAAGAGCAACGUUUCUAGCUUCUUCUUCCUUACAAAAACCAGACCCACUCCUCGACAAAAAACGGAGCAGCUGCACACCUAAGAAUUCUGUUGAAAACCACCCCUUCACGUUAAAAAGCAAAGCAAAGAACUAGAGUUCCAAGGACUGAGGUCAAUGAGUUGGGAAACAUAUUUAAUGAUUCUUCAGCCAUUUCGCAAGAUUUCUAGCUAAUGCACGUUCAGAAAAAGGUUUUUAAUUUGCUAGUUUCUCGCUGCUGUCUCUGUUAAUAUUUGAGAUUCAAGUUUUGCCCUCUUGAUUUCUACUGCUGCGAUUUGUUCGAAUCUGCUGUCUCAAAGUUGUCGAGCUCCAUUUUUCAAGUUUCUUAAGCCCAUAUUUGGGCGAAUAUGUUGGUUUUGCUACUGUCCAGGUUUCAGAAUUAUGUUCUUCUUCAAAGGAGGAUUCAUAAGACAUAGGUCAAAGUAAUAGUUGGGGCCAUUAUUUGUUAACUUCCUUGGGUCGUAGAUUCACAUAGUUUAAUUAGUUGAAUAAGAAGAUGCAAUACAUUUCUGGACUAUGGCCCGUUAGUUAAGGCAUUUGGUAUGUUUGUUUGUCUUAGAAAAUCAGAAAUUGGAUUAGAUUUAGAAUAGUACGGUUCUUUAGUUUCGGGCAAGUUUGAUAAAUGAAUUGAUGGCCCAAGUUAACUCACUCCAGUCUACGCAGGUUAUCCUCUCUGUACCGAGUUUUAGUUA